UACGUAGGGUGCAAGCGUUGUCCGGAAUUAUUGGGCGUAAAGAGCUCGUAGGCGGUUUGUCGCGUCCGCUGUGAAAUCCCGGGGCUCAACCCCGGGCUUGCAGUGGAUACGGGCUGGCUAGAGGCAGGCAGGGGAGAACGGAAUUCCCGGUGUAGCGGUGAAAUGCGCAGAUAUCGGGAGGAACACCGGUGGCGAAGGCGGUUCUCUGGGCCUGUACUGACGCUGAGGAGCGAAAGCGUGGGGAGCGAACAGG
rnacentral:rRNA from 1 species